UACGUAGGUGGCAAGCGUUGUCCGGAUUUACUGGGCGUAAAGAGCGCGCAGGCGGUCGAGUAAGUCGAAUGUGAAAGCCCCCGGCUCAACUGGGGAUCGUCAUUCGAUACUGUUCGACUUGAAGAUGGGAGAGGGAAGCGGAAUUUCAGGUGUAGUGGUGAAAUGCGUAGAUAUCUGAAGGAACACCAGUGGCGAAGGCGGCUUUCUGGCCCACUCUUGACGCUGAGGCGCGAAAGCUAGGGGAGCGAACGGG
rnacentral:rRNA from 1 species